AAAUUGAAGAGUUUGAUCAUGGCUCAGAUUGAACGCUGGCGGCAGGCCUAACACAUGCAAGUCGAACGGUAACAGGAAGCAGCUUGCUGCUUCGCUGACGAGUGGCGGACGGGUGAGUAAUGUCUGGGAAACUGCCUGAUGGAGGGGGAUAACUACUGGAAACGGUGGCUAAUACCGCAUAACGUCGCAAGACCAAAGAGGGGGACCUUCGGGCCUCUUGCCAUCAGAUGUGCCCAGAUGGGAUUAGCUUGUUGGUGAGGUAACGGCUCACCAAGGCGACGAUCCCUAGCUGGUCUGAGAGGAUGACCAGCCACACUGGAACUGAGACACGGUCCAGACUCCUACGGGAGGCAGCAGUGGGGAAUAUUGCACAAUGGGCGCAAGCCUGAUGCAGCCAUGCCGCGUGUAUGAAGAAGGCCUUCGGGUUGUAAAGUACUUUCAGCGGGGAGGAAGGUGUUGCGGUUAAUAACCGCAGCAAUUGACGUUACCCGCAGAAGAAGCACCGGCUAACUCCGUGCCAGCAGCCGCGGUAAUACGGAGGGUGCAAGCGUUAAUCGGAAUUACUGGGCGUAAAGCGCACGCAGGCGGUCUGUCAAGUCGGAUGUGAAAUCCCCGGGCUCAACCUGGGAACUGCAUUCGAAACUGGCAGGCUUGAGUCUUGUAGAGGGGGGUAGAA
rnacentral:rRNA from 1 species